rnacentral:rRNA from 1 species
AUUGAACGCUGGCGGCAGGCCUAACACAUGCAAGUUGAGCGGAGCGGCGGACGGGUGAGUAAUGCCUUGGAAUCUGCCUGGUAGUGGGGGAUAACGUCCGGAAAUGGGCGCUAAUACCGCAUACUAUCAGAUGAGCAUAGGUCGGAUUGGCUAGUUGGUGGGGUCAAGGGCUAACAAGGCGACGAUCCGUAACUGGUCUGAGAGGAUGAUCAGUCACACUGGGACUGAGAGCCGGUCCAGCCUCCUACGGUACGCAGCAGUGGGGUAUGUUCGUCAAUGGGCGAAACCCUGAUGCAGCCAUGUCUCGUGUGUGAAGAAGGUCUUCGGAUUGUAAAGCACGUUAAUUUCGUAGCCGUUACCAGCACAAUACGCACCGGCUAACUCCGUGCCAGCGGCCGCGGUAAUUC